rnacentral:rRNA from 1 species
UGGGGAAUCUUGCGCAAUGGGAGAAAUCCUGACGCAGCAACGCCGCGUGGGUGAUGAAGGUCUUCGGAUCGUAAAGCCCUGUCGGAGGGGAAGAUGCUUGGUAUGGCUAAUAUCCAUAUCAGGUGACGGUACCCUCAAAGGAAGCACCGGCUAACUCUGUGCCAGCAGCCGCGGUAAUACAGAGGGUGCAAGCGUUGUUCGGAAUUAUUGGGCGUAAAGGGAGUGUAGGCGGCUUGUUAAGUCUUCUGUGAAAUCUACGGGCUCAGCCUGUAAAGUGCAGAGGAAACUGGCGAGCUUGAGUGUCGGAGAGGAUAGGGGAAUACCCGGUGUAGAGGUGAAAUUCGUAGAGAUCGGGUGGAACACCAGUGGCGAAGGCGCCUGUCUGGCUGACAACUGACGCUGAGACUCGAAAGCAUGGGGAGCAAACAG